rnacentral:rRNA from 1 species
ACCCGCGUACAUGCCACCGGGGCAUCCCGGAGGCAGGAAAGGCUUCGGCCGGACAGGGAUGGGCAUGCGGCGCAUUAGGCAGUAGGCGGGGUAACGGCCCACCUAACCGACGAUGCGUAGGGGUUCUGAGAGGAAGGUCCCCCACACUGGUACUGAGACACGGACCAGACUCCUACGGGAGGCAGCAGUGAGGAAUAUUGGUCAAUGGUCGGGAGACUGAACCAGCCAAGCCGCGUGAGGGAUGAAGGUACAGAGUAUCGUAAACCUCUUUUGUCAGGGAACAAAGGCGGGGACGUGUCCCCGGAUGAGUGUACCUGAAGAAAAAGCAUCGGCUAACUCCGUGCCAGCAGCCGCGGUAAUACGGAGGAUGCGAGCGUUAUCCGGAUUUAUUGGGUUUAAAGGGUGCGCAGGCGGUCUGUUAGGUCAGCGGUCAAAGCCCGGGGCUCAACCCCGGCCCGCCGUUGAAACUGGCAGUCUCGAGUUGGAGAGAAGUAUGCGGAAUGCGCGGUGUAGCGGUGAAAUGCAUAGAUAUCGCGCAGAACUCCGAUUGCGAAGGCAGCAUGCCGGCUCCACACUGACGCUGAGGCACGAAAGCGUGGGUAUCGAACAGGAUUAGAUACCCUGGUAGUCCACGCAGUAAACGAU